rnacentral:lncRNA from 1 species
GGUCAUGCAAUUGCGACAUUCCCAGGUAGUGUCGCCGACCCUAUUCAUUUAUUAUUACGCAAGCGGAACGUAUUAUAAAACUCCUGACAAUGAAAUACGGGAUAGAAAAGCAGGAAACAAUUUCACAACCAAUCACUUACUCAAACCAACGAAGUUACAGACGAAGGCCUACAGCCAAAAGUCUACGAAAGAUCGACUCUUAAAAAUGAACUGUCCUACAACCUACAAGUCGGACGCGCUCUCCAAUCCUUAUGACUUCACCUCUGCAACUCCUCAAGGCCAACCAAAGCUAUCUAGCCGCUCCAUCCACCGGGGACCUGAAAUGGUUAUUCAAUAACCACUGAGACAACGUCUCAGCAAGUUCAACCCCCUAAACCCCUAUUAGAAAGAAAAUACACCCAAAGGUGGCCAAAUCACAUCACACAGAGAACUUACCUCACCUCAAUUCCUUCCUGCAGGUUAGCACAAUUUGUAUCACAUAAUCUCAAGUAGUAAUAAUAAUUCAAACAAUUGGAACGCCAUCACUUUCAUAUAAAUCACGAUCGCACUUAGCACGCAUUCCAAUUAUUAUUCACUGUCACACAAUGGCAUAGCCCACUCACAGGUCGACUAUCUAUUAACAUUACGACAUUUCGAGAAGAAUAAGCCACGUCAUUCUAUCGACGGCAUUUCUAGAAGAAUAAAGGUCCAGUUGGUCUCGCCACUACUGCGACCAAGCCACGUCGUUCUAUCGACAACAUUUCUAGAAGAAUAAAGGUCCAGUUGGUCUCGCCACUACUGCGACCAAGCCACGUCGUUCUAUCGACAGCACUUCUAGAAGAAUAAAGGUCCAGUCGGUCUCGCCACUACUGCGACCAAGCCACGUCGUUCUAUCGACAGCACUUCUAGAAGAAUAAAGGUCCAGUCGGUCUCGCCACUACUGCGACCAAGCCACGUCGUUCUAUCGACAGCACUUCUAGAAGAAUAAAGGUCCAGUCGGUCUCGCUACUACCGCGACCAAGCCACGUCGUUCUAUCGACAGCACUUCUAGAAGAAUAAAGGUCCAGUCGGUCUCGCCACUACUGCGACCAAGCCACGUCGUUCUAUUGACAGCAUUUCUAGAAGAAUAAAGGUCCAGUCGGUCCCGCCACUACUGCGACCCGAGCCUUUCAACUAGCACACGACCAUUCGAUACCGAUCCUUGUAUACUUUACAUUCCACUCACAUAAUCCAAUUACAAUAUUAGCCAUUAACAAUCCAAUUUCAAUGCCGAACUCGACACUUGCGAUUUUAUGAAUAAAAUCCAUAUUUAUCACAAUCAACAUUCAAUUUGCCACAAUCAAUCAUCAAAUUCAAAUUCUAAAUACACAGCAACGAUCGGCAUGAAAUUCUGAGAGUUUAGGGUCCCGACGAAAUUUUUGAAUUUUAAUAAAUAAUAAAUUUUAUUCCAAAAAUUAAUUAAAUAAUAAUAUCCAUAUUUUUCGCAAUCCACGCUCAAUUUAUAAUAUCCAACCAUCAAUUUCAAAAUCCGAAUACACAGCAGCGAUUGGCACGAAAUUCUGAGCAACCGGGGUCAAAAAUAAUUUUUUCGUUUUUUUUUAAUAAUAAUAUUUUAAUAAUUUCGGAUUAUAAAAUAAUAUUAUAUUUUCCAGAAUUUCGAAGCAUUUAAAUAAUUCAAAACUAAAAUCCUUUUAUGUCACAUCAAGGCUUAACUUUAAAUAAGUUCUUUUAACCUUUAAUUUAAACACACUUAACAUAAACCAACCUCUUAAUCCAAUUUAUAAUUAAAUACACUAAUCCACCCACAUAAACUUACUUAAUUCCAACUAAGCACACUUAGGGCAUCAUUAACACUCUAAUCAAGAUUUAGUGAGUUAAACUCACCGGAUUAGCGAGCCGAGCGAACCAAAACGACGAGGACGACGAGGGGAUCGGCUUUCUCCAAAGCGGGCCAAGCAUCCGGGGUCGGGAAGCCAACCAAAACGGCCCAACACUUGCUGCCAUACCCAUUUUCUGCAGCUACUGUCCACUGUUCGAUGAGGCCGAGAAUGGGCGGAUCCGGGGCUUGGAUGAGAUGGAAAAGGACCGAGGAAGGUUGAGGGGUCGAACCGGACCAAGGCGGGACCCGAACGGUGGCCGGAGGUGGCCGAAUGGCUUCGGCACGAGCUGUUGCAGCAGUUGCGACGCCAGGCGAGUGGGAGGCGGAGACGGUGCUACGGCGGGCCGGCGAGCACGCGUAGGCGGGGCGGGACGGACGCACGGCGGCGGCGGCGACGACGGCGUGCGAGCGGGUGGCCGGCCAUGGCUGCUUCUUCUUCUUCUCUGCAAAUUUUUCUUGUCCUUCGCACAAAGAACAUGGGGGAGUCGCACGGAAGAGAGAGAGGAAGAAGAGAGGGAGGAGAGAGAAGAAGGGGGGGCUUUUUCUUUUCUUUUUCUCUUUCUUUUAUUCAACAAAAAUGGCCCACCAUGACCUAGGAUGACAUCACACUCCACUAUCUCCCACAACCUCUUCCAAUGGGUGCAAUUCCAUUUUCCGCCGGGGCCUAAAACUUGUGCAACAAUGUCUUCAAUUCCACUUAAUUCUCUUCCAAUUAAAUCUUAAUCCCACUUGAAUUAAAUCAAAUUGACCCUCAUUAAUUCAUUCAACACCUCAUCAAUCAAAUUGGUAUUUUUUUCAUUACCAUUGUGGCGUAUUUGCAUCCCAAUUUCGCAAUCUCUGGCUUCAAUUGAACGAAAACGGCCCUAUUUAUCCAUUCGAAAUUAAAACCCGAAAAUCCGGAUGUCACAACUCUUCCCCCUUAUAAAGAUUUCGUCCUCGAAAUUUAAACUUUUACUAAUUCUUAACAAUGAGGUGAGGGUAUAGUCGUCUCAUAUCCUUUUCUCUUUCUCAGGUUGCUUUUUCUGCACUAAUGUUGCCAGAUCACUACUAUCUUGCCCAAACCACUUCGGAUCCAAAAUACUAAACACUUGCCCACUUAAAAUUCUAAAGGUCUUCAACAUAAAAUCUGCGAAGCUAAACUGGUGAUUAUCAGCGAUCUCAAGAUUAUCUCUGGUAACUGCGAUUGAAUCACUGAUUUCUGAACCAACUCUAGACCUGCGAUUUUCUGAUCUCUGAUCUCAACAACUGAAGUUCUGAACACUCUGCUUUGCGUUGAUUAAAAUAAACUAUCUGACUAAUCUGCUAAAAUUGGGAACCUCUGGUCAAGAUCUGAUAUAAUUCUGGCACUGAUCUUAGCAACUACAAUCACUGACUACUGUACAGACAUUGGCUUGUGAUCUUUCUUUCCUUGACUUCAUCUCUGCAAUUGAAAUUCUACACUUUAUGCUAUGCAUUGAUUAAGGAAGAACCUUCUGAAAAUUCUACCAAACUUAUAAUCUACGAUAUGGAUCCGAAAUAUAAUUCAUCCCCGGCACUCCAUGUUGGUGAAUUAUCUAAUGCUCGCACACUUCAGUAUACCCACUUUGUGACAAGACAGAGUCCUCAAUUUCUGAAAUCAAAUUUAGAUUGGCGGUUAAUUUCACUCCGACACGCUUUUAGUGUGACCUAGGCUAUUGGGUAGUGUUCAGAGCUUUUUAGGACAAAUGACUUGUGGUCGAUUUUCUUCGAACCACGAUGAACUCACUCGACACAUUGGCGACUCUCAAUUAUCGUGAAAAUCUUAAAGAUUCAAAUACGGACACAGGGUACCAAACCGACAGUAAAGUCAAAUUAGUGCCAGUCGACGAGAGUUUUCCAAUUUAGUGGAGUCACCCACGAUCGGUCAUUCAUCUCAGUCAAACCAACCUAUCUCUGAUCUUAAUUCGAUUUUUAACUGUGCCGUAAUGAUCUCUAAAGAUGAGCACGGUCGAAAAGUCGAUUUCUGGUCGAAUUCUCAAGUCUAUUUGCCUUAAGGUCCUUAAUAACUCACCCAACUAGUUUAGUUAUCUCGUAAGUGGCCAACUCAGAGAAAAAUACUGUAAUCGUGUUGAUGAAAUGCCCAAUUUAACCAAUCGAAAUCAGAGUUUGAAAAUUAGGAUGUCACACGCUCAAAACAAGAUCUAUUCAUAAUGUACCAAAGUGGACCAACUCCAUCUAUCGGUCGACUAUUAUUCUCAAAUGGUAUCAGUAAUCCCCUGAAUCCUUAGUAAGCUCAUCACAAUGUCCCAUUGUGAUAUAUUUUCAUUCUCACUUAGGACUCUCAAGUGAUGAUAAAAGUCCUCCUGGUUCACAUCACUGAACUUCCACUUACUGACAUCUCUGAUACUUGCAACUUGUUCAACGAUAUCUAUCUUCAUACCGAUCUACCAAUCUCGAUGAUGUAGAUUCUGACUCAUCUUCGCACUGUCUAGACGACUCUAAAUUGCUUUGAUGAACUUCCCAUAAGAUCUCUUCUUAAAUCUCCGUAUCGACAAUUACAUACAAUCGUUCUCAGAACCUUAGCAUUCUGCCUUUGGAAAUCUGAAAUCAAUCUCUCUCUCAUCUGCAUUCUCUUAUAGAAUCUUCUGAAUUUCUGAAUAUGUCCAUUGAAGCAUCUUGAUUAUGAUUAGUACUCUCGGCUCAAUUCUUUCUAGAGUGACAUAAAAUAUCAUAGUCAUAAUCCUUAAUGAGUUCCGUCCAGCGACACUGUCUCAUAUUCAACUCCCGAGGUCUCAACUGACGGGCCACAUACGCAACACGAGUCAUCCAAAACUCGCAUCUGCUAAGCUUAUUGUAAAAUCCAAGAGUACUCAAGGUCUGAAGUAUCAUCCUCGAACGUCUCUUGUGCCCCUCGGCACUCUUCGAACACACUAGGAUAACUUCAAUAAACACGAUCACAACUGAUUCAAGUACCCUUAAACAUUUCGCUCAUUAGACCCAAACAAACAGCUAAGGUGUCCAUCAAACCACACGGUAUUACAAUGAACUCAUAAUUGCCAUAUCGAGUACGAGAUGCUAACUUCGGUGUGUCUUUCUUCUUGAUUCUCAACUAAUGAUACCUUGACCUCCAGUCGAUCUUGAAGAAUAUCGAUAUACAAACACAAUGAAUCAACUUUCUUCCUCACGAAUAGAACGGGUGCUCCCCAAGGUUAUGCACUGGAAAGUAUGAAUCUCCUAUCCAACACUUCCUGCAUUUGCACCUUCAGUCCUUUUAACUCAGGUAAAACCAUCCGGUAAGGAGCCUUAGGAACUGGCUCUGGUCCGGGUGCUGAUUCAAUUGCAAACUUUAUUUCUCUUUCUGAUAGCAACUUGACAAAUCUUCAGAAAAUACCUUUAGAAAACUUAUGUACCACGAUUAAGUUUUCCAUAUUCGGCUCCUCAACUGACACAUCCAUUAUCCAUUAUAGUUGCCAAGUAGAUUCGGUAACCAACAACCAUAACCGGGUCACCUUUAGUGACGAAUAACAAUGAUUGAAGUUCCUCUUCAACUUUCAGUGCUUCAAAACUUUCACACGCUAACUGAACAAACUGAAUUAUAUCACUGCCAUGAUUCAUAAUAGCAGAAAGCUCCUCGAGCCAAACCUUUUCAUAAAUGACUUCCAAGUCAUACUUAAGCAACCCUUCAAGUACAACUAUAGUCAGAGACUCAUCUUUCUAUCACUUUAUUACCACGACGAAAAUCUUAUAACCUUCACUGAAAAUUCUGCUGUACUACUCUGAUAACAUCUCAAAAACAUUCUUCUUCUGAUUGAUGCAUGGUCAAUCCCUUCAUGCUCCUCUAGCCAUCCUAGCGGCGUCCAAUCUGCAGUAACGGUACUUACGCUCUCAUGGACUUACGCGGACAAUUCCUAACCCAAUGAUCGUGCUAGCCAUAUUCCAGCGUGCUCUCUUUUUACUCUGACAUUGGGCUGACUCACUCUCUUUUUCCACAAACUCAGCACACAAUCGGUGAGUCAUCUACUUCCCAUCAAGGAACAUCAUGCACCAUUCCUUGCACUGGGGUCUGUUCCAAGUACCCCACUAAAUGUCCCGUAGCAUGUUUCCCAUGUUCUGUCUUAUCAACGACGAUGCAGAAACAGUUAUAGUUCCAUCCAUCUAUACGAGCCAUCUUUGAUCAAAUGGCUUUACUGGCGACACCUGUAACAAGUCAUUUCCCUCUUACAGCAUGGGACAGACCCACGUCCUUUCUUACAGACACAACAUACAUCAAUCAAGUUGAGCACUGACUUUCGAAUUCUACUCUUCCAGUUGGGUGAAACAGGGCAUCUUUCUUUUGACAUCGGCCUUUCUCCCCAAUCAAUUUCUACCUCUAUCUAAACUGAACCUUGACUCAGAUACAGCGGCUUAAUCCUCGAUCACAACUCCAGAUUAGACCUCAACAGGCGCAACAACAACAGCGGUCACAACACUGGCAGCGGUAGACACAACGGCAACAGCAAUGGCUCGAUCCUGAACUUACUGACCCAACAAGCUUCCAAGGAACGCUAGUGCCUGAACGAUCCCAUCAAACCUAGGAUCAUUCGGUGCUACUACACUCUAAGUACCGACUUGCGGCGGUACUCUCACACUCGCGCUGGUCUAAGCCUGCGCCCUACCUCGGGUACCAACUCUUGUCAGCAUCCUACCCCGAGGUAUAGGUCCUACCGGCCUUCUCCAAGGAGUUCUCCACUCCUGGUCACUCAUCCUACAGGCUCUUUAUAGACACCUGUCUUCCGAUUCUAACAUCAAGUUAGAAUUUGAGUGACCCAACAAACAUACUACCAAUCAACUAUCAACCACAUGCAUCAGCAUAUUAAAAGCCUUUCCUACUAACUAUCCCAUGACUCAUCGCACCUUAUCACUCCAUACACAGACCAUGCUCUGAUACCACUUAAACGGGGAUGUCACGCCCCGAACCUCGAGGUAUGCCAACAUCCCACCAUGGUCAUGCAAUUGCGACAUUCCCAGGUAGUGUCGCUGACCCUAUUCAUUUAUUAUUGCGCAAGCGGAACGUAUUAUAAAACCCCUGACAAUGAAAUACGGGAUAGAAAAACAGGAAACAAUUUCACAACCAAUCACUUACUCAAACCAACGAAGUUACAGACGAAGGCCUACAGCCAAAAGUCUACGAAAGAUCGACUCUUAAAAAUGAACUGUCCUACGACCUACAAGUCGGACAUGCUCUCCAAUCCUUAUGACUUCACCUCUGCAACUCCUCAAGGCCAACCAAAGCUAUCUGGCCGCUCCGUCCACCGGGGACCUGAAAUGGUUAUUCAAUAACCACUGAGACAACGUCUCAGCAAGUUCAACCCCCUAAACCCCUAUUAGAAAGAAAAUACGCCCAAAGGUGGCCUAAUCACAUCACACAGAGAACUUACC